rnacentral:lncRNA from 1 species
UAGUUGCUUCCUUGCUGCACGUGAGUAAGUAAAUUUUUCUUGCUUCCUUGUUCUCUAUCCUGUAUUUCUUCUUCUGCUUUAUUUUCUUUUUUGUUGCUGUCAAAAAUCUCAACAGCUAUUAGCUGAAGCACCCACCCAUGACAAUGAGCAAACAACAAUGAAAAGCAAUGACAGAGAACGAUGAAGGGACUUCAUGUUUAUGGAAGUGAUGAAUUUGUGAAGAUUUCAGCAAGAUAUUCCCCAUAUUUAUAGAGGCAAUGCUUUGAGCCGCCAUGUGAACAAAGUUUGGUUCAAGAAACCCAGGUAUUUGAAGUCAAUUCAUAUAUAAUAAUGGCACAUGCUGCUCAUUUCCUUGUCUAAUUCUCAAAAUUAUUCCAAAACAAUUAUCAAAUAAAUUUCUCUAUAAC